rnacentral:lncRNA from 7 species
AGUGCUGUGCAGCUUGCUGGAUGGAGGAGGAUAUUGACUGAUGUGACACCUGCUUGCUGUGAGUCUUACUCUGGUUCCUCUGCAACUUCUCUACAGUGUUACAAAAUAAAGUUGAUGGCACAGGACCUCAGUUUUGAAGUUAAUGUUUGGUGCCUGGGACAUCUCAAAAUUCAAGAGCUGAACUUUUUGGGAUGAAAAUCUUCGGAGAGAAUCAGAUGCAGUUUUUGGAAGUGAUAACUGGAACUGCAGUCUGUGAUAUAUAAAAUAUAAGUGUACAUUGGAUUGAGCUCCCGAAAAGGAUUUUGAUCUGCCAGCUCUUCCCAGAAAGAGACUGAGAACCGACAGGAGGAAAUCGAAUGCACUUUAAAUCUGAAAUCUGUCAUCAGAGUAGCAGUCUUCACAAACUCAACUUUUCAAAGAAGGAAAUUUUCAGAUUCUAACUUCUUAUUGGAAAGCUGCUGGAGACCUUUUCUUGCUAUGCUGUUAUUUGGAGUGAAUAAAGAAUCUUUUCUACUUUCAGCUCAGGUAAUUUUUAUGAAUACAGUGUAGACACCUUUUCACAUCCUCUUUGUUAAGCUGUAAAUCUGUCAUGGUUGGAUUAUUUUUGUCCCAAGAAAAUGAUCAUAGUUAAAUAUAUGUGUAUGUGCAUAUAAGAUUCUGGUUUGAAUAUUUUGCAUAUAUGAAGAUUUUAGAUUGUGAGUUGAUAAAAUCUCUAAAUUUAAAAAUUGCUUAAAUUAUUUUGAGACAUUUCUAUUCAAUACUGACUUUUUUCCAGUUUUUAAAUGUUAGUUGCUUAGCAUAGGGAAAAAUCAUUGCAUUGGGGAAAACUUCCUUUUGACAUUUAAAACAAAAACAGAGAAGACUAUUUCAACAAUUUUUAUUCUUCACAGAAGCAUAUGAAAUUCAAGUUUCCAUGUGAUAUUUUUGACUUUUUCAAAAAUAAUAUUUUUUGAAUAAAUUGUUCUUUCUUUUCUGAAAAGAGAAAAGAAAGAAUAAUCCAAUUCAAUAUUAGAGAUUUAAAUAUUUGUUUCUCCCUAUGCUACAUAUUUUUUGUCAUCAGGUCAGUUUUUGAGCUCUUUUCAAAGUAUCUUUCUGUUUUUCACUGUCUUUUAAGAAUUUACACAUUGGAUGCAUUAUUCAGCUGAUAACUUUACUGGUUCCUCCUGACACUCUAGGUUCUACUUCUCCAUUUCUACCUAGUGCUUUAAAAAUACUUCUUUCUUUAUUGACAUUUAUUUUGUACCUUGAAGACAUUUUUUUUGUCACAAAUGUUCACUAGAGGCACACUCUUUUCUAUCUGCAAAUAGAGAUCAAAAGAUAAUUAUGGAUAUGAACUAUAGGUCUGAUAUGUUUAUAUAAGGUAUCCAUGCCUGUGAAAGGCAUGUUGCAAGUAUUAACAAUGGUGUGUUUACUCAUUGGCAGAGACUCAGAAAGGUCCUAAAACUGUGACAGCUCUAGUCUUAAUCCAGACAAUUCAAUGUUUCAAAAAAAUAAAUUAUCCUUGCUU